GCUGAAAAAGUAUGCCAAACUUUUGAAAUUCAAAACAAAGAAGAACAAAACUUACAAGCAAAUCAAGUAGAGUUUAUUACUACAUUUAUACAAUUUUUAAUAAAGUUAUAUAUUUGAUAUAUAGGGAUUUCAUAUAUAUUUUUGUGAGUUUUAUCUUUCUUUAUACAAUUGCAUAGAUGUAUGCAUGUUUACAAAUGUUAAAAGUGACUGUAAUUAUCUUUUGUGUGAUACAGUAUAGUAUGUAGUUUUACCUUAAAGGACCAUAUUAGGGUCUAUAACUCUGUAAAUUAUGUUUAUUUACUUGUCAAAAAUAUUUAUCUCUACUGCAACCAAAUAUUUGAUAAUCAUUUACAUCAUCUUUAAUAUAUGGAAAAUACAAACUUGAAAAAGAUAAAGAACAUUAUUGAUUAAAUUUGUUUUUCAAAUUGUAUUUCUUCUGUUUGACAAUACAGUCAUUUUCAAAAUGAUACGGUUAACAUUGGUGACUUUUCUUUUUACAAAUGAAUUUAAUAAUUAAAAUGCCAUUUUAAAAGAUAUGUGAUAUGUGAACCCUGUUUUAUAUGUAAAUUCUAUAUUCUUAGGGGUAUUCUGUAAUUCUAUUUGAAUCCAUGUCAUGAAAUCCUGUGUAGCAUAAAACAUAUUUAUUGUAAGUUGUGUUAAUCAAUUCUUGGUGCUUAUAUGUUGUGGUUGUUAGAAGAUAUAACUUUUGAUGAGAGAUGAAUGAUUGUUACAUGUAGGUAUGAUUUGCUGACAAUAAAAAAAGGAAUACU
rnacentral:misc_RNA from 1 species